CCUACGGGGCGCAGCAGGGGGGAAUAUUGGACAACGGGCGAGAGCCUGAUCCAGCAAUGCCGCGUGUGUGAAGAAGGUCUUCGGAUUGUAAAGCACUUUCGACGGGGACGAUGAUGACGGUACCCGUAGGAGUAGCCCCGGCUAACUUCGUGCCAGCAGCCACGGUAAUACGAAGGGGGCUAGCGUUGCUCGGAAUGACUGGGCGUAAAGGGCGCGUAGGCGGUUUAUGCAGUCAGAUGUGAAAUCCCCGGGCUUAACCUGGGAACUGCAUUUGAGACGCAUAGACUAGAGGUCGAGAGAGGGUUGUGGAAUUCCCAGUGUAGAGGUAAAAUUCGUAGAUAUUGGGAAGAACACCGGUGGCGAAGGCGGCAACCUGGCUCGAUACUGACGCUGAGGCGCGAAAGCGUGGGGAGCAAACAGGAUUAGAUACCCUUGUAGUC
rnacentral:rRNA from 1 species